rnacentral:rRNA from 1 species
AGAACGAACGCUGGCGGCAUGCCUAACACAUGCAAGUCGAACGAGACCUUCGGGUCUAGUGGCGCACGGGUGCGUAACGCGUGGGAAUCUGCCCUUCGGUUCGGAAUAACAGUUAGAAAUGACGUGCUAAUACCGGAUAAUGACGUAAGUCCAAAGAUUUAUCGCCGAAGGAUGAGCCCGCGUAAGAUUAGCUAGUUGGUGAGGUAAAGGCUCACCAAGGCUACGAUCUUUAGCUGGUCUGAGAGGAUGAUCAGCCACACUGGGACUGAGACACCGGCCAGACUCCUACGGGAGCAGCAGUGGGAAUAUUGGACAAGUGGCGAAGGCCUGAUCCAGCAAUGCCGCGUGAGUGAUGAAGCCGUUAGGGUAGUAAAGUCUACGUUUUACCGGGAUGAUAUGACAGUACGGAGAAUAGCUACCGGAUAAC